CCUACGGGAGGCAGCAGUGGGGAAUCUUGCGCAAUGGGCGAAAGCCUGACGCAGCCAUGCCGCGUGAAUGAUGAAGGUCUUAGGAUUGUAAAAUUCUUUCACCGGGGACGAUAAUGACGGUACCCGGAGAAGAAGCCCCGGCUAACUUCGUGCCAGCAGCCGCGGUAAUACGAAGGGGGCUAGCGUUGCUCGGAAUUACUGGGCGUAAAGGGAGCGUAGGCGGAUAGUUUAGUCAGAGGUGAAAGCCCAGGGCUCAACCUUGGAAUUGCCUUUGAUACUGGCUAUCUUGAGUGUGGGAGAGGUAUGUGGAACUCCGAGUGUAGAGGUGAAAUUCGUAGAUAUUCGGAAGAACACCAGUGGCGAAGGCGACAUACUGGCCCAUUACUGACGCUGAGGCUCGAAAGCGUGGGGAGCAAACAGGAUUAGAUACCCUGGUAGUCCACGCUGUAAACGAUGAGUGCUAGUUGUCGGCAUGCAUGCAUGUCGGUGACGCAGCUAACGCAUUAAGCACUCCGCCUGGGGAGUACGGUCGCAAGAUUAAAACUCAAAGGAAUUGACGG
rnacentral:rRNA from 1 species